rnacentral:piRNA from 1 species
UAGCAUCAAAGUGUCUGUCAUCAGAUUCCCU